UAAUCUCACUACAAUCACUUUAUUGUCGUUUGUAUGUGGACCUGGAUGUUGCCGUGUAACAAACGGCUCGUCUGAAAUGCCUGAGUGUACCCUGCUUUGCGGCGUAUUCGGUGUGAUAAAUCUUCACCGGAGUUGACUUUCGGGUCGCGUCUGCUUAACAUGGCUCUAUGCUUCCAACCGUCCUAACAAGACAACCUUUGACA
rnacentral:misc_RNA from 1 species